AUCUAUGAUGAUUAAUACGGCAUCACCUUUGGGUCUUCUUAUUACAUUUCACAACUCCAAUUUUGCAACUUAAACCGGGCAAAACGUUGUGAAGCAUUACUUAGACAAUUCGUGCAUUAAUCGUUUAUUCAAAUAUUUGUCUGGAGAUCUAUGGAUAUUUUUUCAAUUUAGGAUCCGUCAUCUUGUCAAGCAAUCAGGUUGUUGGUCUUUCUGUAUAUAGAUUGAUGAACUACAUUGUUGGUCAGUAGAACUGAAAACUUACUUCAAACU
rnacentral:lncRNA from 1 species